rnacentral:rRNA from 1 species
UACGUAGGGUGCAAGCGUUGUCCGGAAUUAUUGGGCGUAAAGAGCUCGUAGGCGGUUUGUCGCGUCUGCUGUGAAAACGCGAGGCUCAACCUCGGGCCUGCAGUCGAUACGGGCAAACUAGAGUACUGCAGGGGAGACUGGAAUUCCUGGUGUAGCGGUGAAAUGCGCAGAUAUCAGGAGGAACACCGAUGGCGAAGGCAGGUCUCUGGGCAUUAACUGACGCUGAGGAGCGAAAGCAUGGGGAGCGAACAGG